AUACGUAGGGUGCGAGCGUUGUCCGGAAUUACUGGGCGUAAAGAGCUCGUAGGUGGUUUGUCGCGUCGUCUGUGAAAUUCCGGGGCUUGACUCCGGGCGUGCAGGCGAUACGGGCAUAACUUGAGUACUGUAGGGGAGACUGGAAUUCCUGGUGUAGCGGUGAAAUGCGCAGAUAUCAGGAGGAACACCGGUGGCGAAGGCGGGUCUCUGGGCAGUAACUGACGCUGAGGAGCGAAAGCAUGGGUAGCGAACAGGAUUAGAUACCCUGGUAGUCCAUGCCGUAAACGGUGGGCGCUAGGUGUAGGGGUCUUCCACGACUUCUGUGCCGUAGCUAACGCAUUAAGCGCCCCGCCUGGGGAGUACGGCCGCAAGGCUAAAACUCAAAUGAAUUGACGGG
rnacentral:rRNA from 1 species